GGAGAGGUGGCCGAGUGGUCGAAGGCGCACGCUUGGAAAGCGUGUAUAUCUCACGAGGAUAUCGUGGGUUCGAAUCCCACUCUCUCCGCCA
rnacentral:tRNA from 1 species